GUGCCAGCCGCCGCGGUAAUACGUAGGGACCGAGCGUUGUCCGGAUUCAUUGGGCGUAAAGAGCUCGUAGGCGGCCACUCAAGUCGAAUGUGAAACCUCGAGGCUUAACCUCGAGCCUGCAUUCGAUACUGGGCGGCUAGAGUCUGGUAGGGGGAUCUGGAAUUCCUGGUGUAGCGGUGGAAUGCGCAGAUAUCAGGAGGAACACCGGUGGCGAAGGCGGGAUCCUGGGCCAGUACUGACGCUGAGGAGCGAAAGCGUGGGGAGCAAACAGGAUUAGAAACCCCCGUAGUCC
rnacentral:rRNA from 1 species